UACGUAGGGGGCUAGCGUUGUCCGGAAUCAUUGGGCGUAAAGGGCGCGUAGGCGGGCCCCCUUGUCCGGGGUGAAAGCUUUCGGCUUAACCGGAAAAGUGCCCCGGAAACGGGGGGCCUGGAGGGAGGUAGGGGCAGCCGGAACUUCCGGUGGAGCGGUGAAAUGCGUUGAUAUCGGAAGGAACGCCGGUGGCGAAAGCGGGCUGCUGGACCUCUACUGACGCUGAGGCGCGAAAGCCAGGGGAGCGAACGGG
rnacentral:rRNA from 1 species